GACGAACGCUGGCGGCGUGCUUAACACAUGCAAGUCGAACGGAAAGGCCCUGCUUUUGUGGGGUGCUCGAGUGGCGAACGGGUGAGUAACACGUGAGUAACCUGCCCUUGACUUUGGGAUAACUUCAGGAAACUGGGGCUAAUACCGGAUAUGAGCUCCUGCUGCAUGGUGGGGGUUGGAAAGUUUCGGCGGUUGGGGAUGGACUCGCGGCUUAUCAGCUUGUUGGUGGGGUAGUGGCUUACCAAGGCUUUGACGGGUAGCCGGCCUGAGAGGGUGACCGGCCACAUUGGGACUGAGAUACGGCGCAGACUCCUACGGGAGGCAGCAGUGGGGAAUAUUGCACAAUGGGCGGAAGCCUGAUGCAGCAACGCCGCGUGCGGGAUGACGGCCUUCGGGUUGUAAACCGUUUUCGCCGGUGACGAAGAGUGAGUGACGGUAAUGGGUAAAGAAGCACCGGCUAACUACGUG
rnacentral:rRNA from 1 species